GACGAGCGCUGGCGGCGUGCUUAACACAUGCAAGUCGAACGGUAAGGCCCUUCGGGGUACACGAGUGGCGAACGGGUGAGUAACACGUGGGUGAUCUGCCCUGCACUUCGGGAUAAGCCUGGGAAACUGGGUCUAAUACCGGAUAGGACUCCGGCCUGCAUGGUCUGGGGUGGAAAGCUCUUGCGGUGUGGGAUGGGCCCGCGGCCUAUCAGCUUGUUGGUGGGGUGAUGGCCUACCAGGGCGACGACGGGUAGCCGGCCUGAGAGGGUGACCGGCCACCCUGGGACUGAGAUACGGCCCAGACUCCUACGGGAGGCAGCAGUGGGGAAUAUUGCACAAUGGGCGCAAGCCUGAUGCAGCGACGCCGCGUGAGGGAUGACGGCCUUCGGGUUGUAAACCUCUUUCAGCAUCGACGAAGCGAAAGUGACGGUAGGUGCAGAAGAAGGACCGGCCAACUACGUGCCAGCCGCCGCCGUAA
rnacentral:rRNA from 1 species